rnacentral:rRNA from 1 species
GACGAACGCUGGCGGCGUGCUUAACACAUGCAAGUCGAACGGAAAGGCCCUGCUUUUGUGGGGUGCUCGAGUGGCGAACGGGUGAGUAACACGUGAGUAACCUGCCCUUGACUUUGGGAUAACCUCAGGAAACUGGGGCUAAUACCGGAUAGGAGCUCCUGCUGCAUGGUGGGGGUUGGAAAGUUUCGGCGGUUGGGGAUGGACUCGCGGCUUAUCAGCUUGUUGGUGGGGUAGUGGCUUACCAAGGCUUUGACGGGUAGCCGGCCUGAGAGGGUGACCGGCCACAUUGGGACUGAGAUACGGCCCAGACUCCUACGGGAGGCAGCAGUGGGGAAUAUUGCACAAUGGGCGGAAGCUUGAUGCAGCAACGCCGCGUGCGGGAUGACGGCCUUCGGGUUGUAAACCGCUUUCGCCUGUGACGAAGCGUGAGUGACGGUAAUGGGUAAAGAAGCACCGGCUAACUACGUG